AGUUCCCACACAGCACUGCGGCCCAGGACCUGGCGCGGAGAGGGCCCACAGUGGACUUGGUGACACUGUAUGCCCUAACCGCUCAGCCCCUGGGUCCGGCAUGACAGACAGAACAGC
rnacentral:pre_miRNA from 13 species